UACGAAGGGUGCAAGCGUUAAUCGGAAUUACUGGGCGUAAAGCGUGCGCAGGCGGUUUGUUAAGCCAGAUGUGAAAGCCCCGGGCUCAACCUGGGAACUGCGUUUGGUACUGGCAAGCUAGAGUACGGCAGAGGGGGGUGGAAUUCCACGUGUAGCAGUGAAAUGCGUAGAUAUCAGGAGGAACACCUGCGGUGUAGACGGCUUACUGGACCGUAGCUGACGCUGAGGCACGAAAGCGUGGGUAGCAAACAGG
rnacentral:rRNA from 1 species